GAUGAACGCUGACAGAAUGCUUAACACAUGCAAGUCGACUGUGGCGGACGGGUGAGUAACGCGUAAAGAACUUGCCUCACAGAUAGGGACAACAUUUGGAAACGAAUGCUAAUACCUGAUACUGUGAGAGAGCUUUGCGUCCCAUUAGCUAGUUGGAGAGGUAACGGCUCACCAAGGCGAUGAUGGGUAGCCGGCCUGAGAGGGUGAUCGGCCACAAGGGGACUGAGACACGGCCAUUACUCAGUCGGGGGGCAGCAGUGGGGAAUAUUGGACAAUGGACCAAAGUCUGAUCAAGCAAUUCUGUGUGUACGAUGAAGUUUUCGGAAUGUAAAGUGCUUUCAGUUGGGAAGCGGUACCAACAGAAGAAGUGACGGCUAAAUACGUGCCAGCAGCCGCGGUAAUAC
rnacentral:rRNA from 1 species